GUGGGGAAUAUUGGUCAAUGGCGAAAGCCUGAACCAGCCAUGUCGCGUGAAGGAUGAAGGUCCUAUGGAUUGUAAACUUCUUUUGCAGGAGGGUAAAGUGAGCUACGUGUAGUUCAUUGCAAGUACCCUGCGAAUAAGCAUCGGCUAACUCCGUGCCAGCAGCCGCGGUAAUACGGAGGAUGCGAGCGUUAUCCGGAUUUAUUGGGUUUAAAGGGUGCGUAGGCGGACUAAUUAGUCUGCGGUGAAAUUUUGCGGCUCAACCGUAAAACUGCCGUUGAAACUGUUAGUCUUGAGUGCGGUAGAGGUAGGCGGAAUGUGUGGUGUAGCGGUGAAAUGCUUAGAUAUCACACAGAACACCGAUUGCGUAGGCAGCUUACUGGAGCGCAACUGACGCUGAGGCACGAAAGCGUGGGGAUCGAACAGGAUUAGAUACCCUUGUAGUCC
rnacentral:rRNA from 1 species